rnacentral:lncRNA from 1 species
UGAAAAUUGUGAAGAAGUAUACAUCAUAUUAUAUUCUGAUUGACUAUAUGUCUGUCUUCCCCCAAAAGACCUUAAGUGAUUUGAGGGCAGGUAAAUCUUUCUUAUGGCUAUAAUGGCUAUUGUCAUAAAGUAAAGGUACAUGGCAUAGAGAUUUUCAAAUAUUUUAUCACAGGAGAUUAUUGAAAUUUAAUUUAUCUUUUGCACAAUAUUGAGGUCCAGUCUAACUCUUUGGAAAAAGCUUUAUUUUAUGAUGAUCAAAGACACCGAAAAAAUGAAAUUGAAAAUUUUAAAGCUUUGUGAUUUUUUUUUGCUGUAGAACAAUGAUAUUUUAGGGCAUGAUCCCUUAAAAUCCUUAUCUUCAUUGACCUCCCUACUUUACUUUGGCCACCGACCACAAUGCCUUACCUUAGAUCCUCAUUACUCAGAAAUACUGAGAUGUCAAGUUCUGAAACACCUUCUUUGUGCUCCAAACACAGAUUUGCAUUUACCCACUCCCACAUAGGUUUCUCUGACUCACAUUUUGAUUAAUUUUCCCAAUUGAAUUUCUAGCAUCUGACUUCACAUGAAUAUGACCAAUUAUUUCAGUGAUUUUUUUAGCAUUCUCCUGAUUUUUAUUGUCUAUGACAUGCCAUUUCUCAACCCAGAGUGAAUUUCCACUCUGCUUUCUUGACUCCCACUUCUGAACUGUGAAGCACUGCUACAUAAAUUCAUGAAACUAUGUUAAUUGGAGCCACUGCAAUUUCAUUUUGUCUCACCUCAGUUGAACUGUCCCUGUUGCUUGGCAAUCCUUUUAUUUAUCAGUGUUGAUUCCCCCAUUACAUUUCACAAAGCAGCUGUUCAAACAUUUCUACUCUUCAAGGUUCCAAACUCUCCAUCGUGUUUUUACUUCCAACAGAUGCCUCUCUUAUUGAUAAGGAUAUUAAGUACUAUCAUUUUUAGGCCAGUGCUGUGGCCGGCAUCCACUUUCGAUCCAGCUCCUUGCUAUGGUCUGGGAAGGUAGUAGAAGAUUACCUAAGUGAACCUGCAUGGGAGACCUGGAAGAAGCUCCUGGCUCUGGAUCAAUCCAGCUUCUGCCAUGGCAGCCAUUUGGGAAGUGAACAAGCAGAUGGAAGACCCCUCUCUCUCUCUCACUGCCUCUGCCUCUCUGUAAUUUGGCCUUUCAAAUAAAUAAGUGAAUCUUUAAAAAAAAAAAAAAGGU